rnacentral:rRNA from 1 species
AUUGAACGCUGGCGGCAUGCCUUACACAUGCAAGUCGAACGGUAACGCGGGGCAACCUGGCGACGAGUGGCGAACGGGUGAGUAAUGCAUCGGAACGUGCCUGGUAGUGGGGGAUAACUGCUCGAAAGAGCAGCUAAUACCGCAUACGACCUGAGGGUGAAAGGGGUGGAUCGCAAGACCUCUCGCUACCAGAGCGGCCGAUGUCGGGUUAGCUAGUUGGUGGGGUAAAGGCACACUAAGGCAACGAUCCGUAGCUGGUCUGAGAGGACGACCAGCCACACUGGGACUGAGACACGGCCCAGACUCCUACGGGAGUCAGCAGUGGGGAAUUUUGGACAAUGGACGCAAGUAUGAUCCAGCCAUGCCGCGUGCGGGAAGAAGGCCUUCGGGUUGUAAACCGCUUUUGUCAGGGAAGAAAUCUUCUGGGUUAAUACCUCGGGAGGAUGACGGUACCUGAAGAAUAAGCACCGGCUAACUACGUGCCAGCCGCCGCCGUAA